rnacentral:rRNA from 1 species
AUUGAACGCUGGCGGCAGGCCUAACACAUGCAAGUCGAGCGGAUGAGUGGAGCUUGCUCCAUGAUUCAGCGGCGGACGGGUGAGUAAUGCCUAGGAAUCUGCCUAUUAGUGGGGGACAACGUUUCGAAAGGAACGCUAAUACCGCAUACGUCCUACGGGAGAAAGCAGGGGACCUUCGGGCCUUGCGCUAAUAGAUGAGCCUAGGUCGGAUUAGCUAGUUGGUGAGGUAAUGGCUCACCAAGGCGACGAUCCGUAACUGGUCUGAGAGGAUGAUCAGUCACACUGGAACUGAGACACGGGCGAGACUCCUACGGGGGGCAGCAGUGGGGAAUAUUGGACAAUGGGCGAAAGGCUGAUCCAGCCAUGCCGCGUGUGUGAAGAAGGUCUUCGGAUUGUAAAGCGCUUUAAGUUGGGAGGAAGGGUUGUACGUUAAUACCGUGCAAUUUUGACGUUACCGACAGAAUAAGCACCGGCUAACUCUGUGCCAGCCGCCGCCGUAA